UACGAAGGGUGCAAGCGUUACUCGGAAUUACUGGGCGUAAAGCGUGCGUAGGCGGUUCGUUAAGUCUGUCGUGAAAGCCCUGGGCUCAACCUGGGAAUUGCGAUGGAUACUGGCGAGCUAGAGUACGGUAGAGGAUGGUGGAAUUCCCGGUGUAGCGGUGAAAUGCGUAGAGAUCGGGAGGAACACCCGUGGCGAAGGCGGCCAUCUGGACCAGUACUGACGCUGAGGCGCGACAGCGUGGGGAGCGAACGGG
rnacentral:rRNA from 1 species